CACGUAGGGGACGAGCGUUGUCCGGAUUCAUUGGGCGUAAAGCGCGCGUAGGCGGCCGGCUAAGUCGAACGUGAAAUCCCCGGGCUCAACCCGGGAACUGCGUCCGAUACUGGCAGGCUUGAAUCCGGGAGAGGGAUGCGGAAUUCCAGGUGUAGCGGUGAAAUGCGUAGAUAUCUGGAGGAACACCGGUGGCGAAGGCGGCAUCCUGGACCGGUAUUGACGCUGAGGCGCGAAAGCCAGGGGAGCAAACGGG
rnacentral:rRNA from 1 species